AAGUCAACCAAUCUCUUUUAUUGUAGUCACUUUAAGCUACCAAUUAGCUAUAAAGGUUUCAUUAUUUUGGGUCAAAUGGUACUUUACCAUUUCCUUGAGUAUAUGUCGUAUAUACACUCAAUGUAGUCAUAAAGAUUUUCAUUCUUAUUUCUUUCGAAUUAAGAGGUGUAACUCUAUGACAUAAUCAUAAAUUUCAAACCAUUCAACUGAGACAGUUUAUAAAUCCUUCUCGACUACCUUG
rnacentral:lncRNA from 1 species